rnacentral:rRNA from 1 species
AGUGAACGCUGGCGGUAGGCCUAACACAUGCAAGUCGAACGGCAGCACAGUAAGAGCUUGCUCUUACGGGUGGCGAGUGGCGGACGGGUGAGUAAUACAUCGGAAUCUACUUUUUCGUGGGGGAUAACGUAGGGAAACUUACGCUAAUACCGCAUACGACCUACGGGUGAAAGCAGGGGAUCUUCGGACCUUGCGCGAUUGAAUGAGCCGAUGUCGGAUUAGCUAGUUGGCGGGGUAAAGGCCCACCAAGGCGACGAUCCGUAGCUGGUCUGAGAGGAUGAUCAGCCACACUGGAACUGAGACACGGUCCAGACUCCUACGGGAGGCAGCAGUGGGGAAUAUUGGACAAUGGGCGCAAGCCUGAUCCAGCCAUACCGCGUGGGUGAAGAAGGCCUUCGGGUUGUAAAGCCCUUUUGUUGGGAAAGAAAAGCAGCAGGUUAAUACCCCGCUGUUCUGACGGUACCCAAAGAAUAAGCACCGGCUAACUUCGU